rnacentral:rRNA from 1 species
GGACCCGCACAAGUAGUGGAGCAUGUGGUUUAAUUCGAAGAUACGCGCAGAACCUUACCAACACUUGACAUGUUCGUCGCGACUUUAAGAGAUUAAAGUUUUCGGUUCGGCCGGACGAAACACAGGUGCUGCAUGGCUGUCGUCAGCUCGUGUCGUGAGAUGUUGGGUUAAGUCCCGCAACGAGCGCAACCCUCACUUUUAGUUGCCAUCAUUAAGUUGGGCACUCUGAAAGAACUGCCAGUGAUAAGCUGGAGGAAGGUGGGGAUGACGUCAAGUCCUCAUGGCCCUUACGUGUUGGGCUACACACGUGCUACAAUGGUAUCUACAACAGGAAGCAAAACAGCGAUGUUAAGCAAAUCCUUAAAAGAUACCUCAGUUCGGAUUGCACUCUGCAACUCGAGUGCAUGAAGCUGGAAUUACUAG